rnacentral:rRNA from 1 species
CCCGCACAAGCGGUGGAGUAUGUGGUUUAAUUCGAUGCAACGCGAAGAACCUUACCUGGUCUUGACAUCCCGGAGACCCUUAGGAAACUAGGGGUGCUUCCAUCUGGAAGAAUCUGGAGACAGGUGCUGCAUGGCUGUCGUCAGCUCGUGUCGUGAGAUGUUGGGUUAAGUCCCGCAACGGGCGCAACCCUUGCCUUUAGUUGCCAGCAGUUCGGCUGGGCACUCUAAAGGGACUGCCGGUGUUAAACCGGAGGAAGGUGGGGAUGACGUCAAGUCCUCAUGGCCUUUAUGACCAGGGCUACACACGUACUACAAUGGCCGAUACAAAGGGCAGCGACACUGCGAGGUGAAGCCAAUCCCGUAAAAUCGGUCUCAGUCCGGAUUGGAGUCUGCAACUCGACUCCAUGAAGUUGGAAUCGCUAGUAAUCGUGGAUCAGCAUGCCACGGUGAAUACGUUCCCGGGCCUU